CGCUCGACGCCGUGGCCCACAUACAGGUCCAAGUUGCUCCGAGGUUUCUGAGGCAGCCGGCCAACGCUCUCGCCUAUGAGAAGGAGAACGUGGAGCUGGAGUGCAGCGUGUACGGCCAGCCAGAGCCCUCGCUCCACUGGCUCAAGAACGGCGAGCUGCUGGUGGAGACGGAAUACCUUCAGAGAACGCGUCCAGAACGUGAGUGCAGCUCCUCCAGCGAGGGACGGGAUGAAUACAAGACCCAGAUCAGCGACCUAAGUCCCGGGAGUAACUACAUGGUGCGGGUGGCGGCCCACACCUCCGGCGGCCUGGUGGGCGCCUCCAUACACGAGGUGCGGGUGUUCACCAAGCCGGACCUGGACCUGCCCUCCGCCUCAGAGUCUGAAAGUUGUCUCCACCUCACCCACCAGUCUGGAGGCCACUUGGUCGCCGCCCGUACUGGCCAAAACGCCCAUCACGGGAUACACCAUGUUCUAUACGCAGUUUUCUCCUCAGGUUGGGUCAGCAGAAGAACACGAAGUAAAGGUCACUGGUACGUCACAUGACCUCCAAGGCCUGGACCAGUUCACUGAGCACAGCGUGUGGCUCACCGCCGUCAACAGUAAUGGCGGGGGAGACGCCACCCCGGAGGUCACUGCCAGAACCUUCUCAGACGUGCCCUCAAAGGAGCCUCAGAAUGUGAGCGUUGAGGCUGCCAGCUCAAGGAGCCUCAUCAUCUGCUGGGAGCCUCCGCUGGCCGAGCACCAGAAUGGGAUCAUCACCAGCUGCAAGAUCCACUACAAAGAGCGCGGCGAGUCAGGUUCCUCCAAGACCAAAGCCACAGACGGAAACAGACGAC